rnacentral:lncRNA from 1 species
UUUGUUGUAGGCGUAACUCCAUACAAAUUUACUUUUCACGUUACUUUAAAAAUAUUAAGUAAAGACUUGGCGACACUUGGGAAUUUAAGAAAGGAAAAGAAUAAAGAAGUGACAAGGGAGAUAUUUUGUGAUUCUGUCGAGCUCAACGUAACAAACAUAAAGUUAGUAGAAACUAAAACCCCAACAAAAUACUUUCCAGCCAUUUCCAACAAACAUUUUACAAAAAUUUAACAAUUUUCUCAGGACACUUAAUCAUCAAACCAGUGCGAGUUCUAGCUCAGAUAUUUUUCAGAGCCUUUUGAGGUCCUCUGUCAAACAGAGUUCUGAUGUUUUAACAAAGUUUUAACAAGUAACCUGUAUAGCUACCAAGAUAUUGUUCUCAGUGAACUCGAAUCAAAGGCUACUGAAAGAUCUUGAGCAACUUGCAGAAAUUAAUUUCCAGGCAGUAGUCUCCUUUGACAGUGAUGGGUAAUGAUCACAAGAAUUAUAUUUGCAGUGGAUCCUAAUUUUAGCAACAAGUUUUACACAGUAUAAUCCCAUUCAACAGCAAGAAGGGAGAGGAAUUAUGAUCAUCAGAGGCACAAGUAAAAAAAUGCAAGAGUAAAUUUCUGCACUCAAAUUACAAACAGUGCUGCACAAAGUAUAUCGAAAAGGCUAUAGAAGUAAAAAGAACAAAUAUGACUUGGCUAAAGAAAACUUUUAUGCUUGUCAUUGGAAGAAAUAGCCAUUCCUUUGGGGGCCGAUACAAGAAGUAACAUGCAUAUAUAAAAACCAACAUGUAACCAUACACUCAUGGGACUUGCACGUGAGACCUCGUAUUCUCAAGUCCUCGACCCUAUUGUACUUCAACAUAACAUAAUCUUUACCAUCUGAAAA